GGGUGCGAUCAUACCAGCCCUAAUGCACCAGAUCCCACCAGAACUCUGAAGUUAAUCCUGCUUGGGCGAGAGUAGUACUAGCAUGGGUGACCUUUUAGGAAGUCCUCGUGUUGCUCCCC
rnacentral:rRNA from 1 species